GAUGAACGCUGGCGGCGUGCCUAAUACAUGCAAGUCGAGCGAAUGGAUUAAGAGCUUGCUCUUAUGAAGUUAGCGGCGGACGGGUGAGUAACACGUGGGGAACCUGCCCAUAAGACUGGGAUAACUCCGGGAAACCGGGGCUAAUACCGGAUAACAUUUUGAACCGCAUGGCUCGAAAUUGAAAGGCGGCUUCGGCAGGCAAUCAUGGAUGGACCCGCGUCGCAUGAGCUAGUUGGCGAGGUAACGGCUCACCAAGGCAACGAUGCGUAGCCGACCUGAGAGGGUGAUCGGCCACACUGGGACUGGGACACGGCCCAGACUCCUACGGGAGGCAGCAGUAGGGAAUCUUCCGCAAUGGACGAAAGUCUGACGGAGCAACGCCGCGUGAGUGAUGAAGGCUUUCGGGUCGUAAAACUCUGUAGUUAGGGAAGAACAAGUGCUAGUUGAAUAAGCUGGCACCUUGACGGUACCUAACCAGAAAGCCACGGCUAACUACGUGCCAGCCGCCGCGGUAA
rnacentral:rRNA from 1 species